rnacentral:lncRNA from 10 species
GAGCUGAGUGUCGAGGUCACUGGGGCGGCCAGAGCAGGCCCCGGGCUUCCUCACUCCCAUGCCUGCCCGGGGCCACCCAGGGGUGAGGCGAGCUGCGACCGUCCCCGUGCACCUGCACGCAGCCUGUCUGUGUGGCCAGGCUUCUUUAUACCCGACACCUCAGAGCGGUCACCUCAGGGCUCUGAGGGGGAGUGUUCCUGCGCUCAGGGUGGGACUUUUAUGAUGGGACCUUUAUGGGAGCCACCCAGGGUCCCUUCUGAUGUACGCUGUUGGCUAUAGCAGUCACAGCCCUCCCAGAUUCAGAAGGAUGGAACACAGGCCCCAUCUCUCCAUGAAAAGAGGGUCCAAUAAUUUGUGACCUUGUUUCAAAAUUGCCACAGAGAUGGCCCUCCCUUUUCACUGCUCAGCUCAGCCGUGCUGUGACCCAGUGCUUGGGCUCAGCUUGUCCUAGAGCACCAUCCCUCCCACCCCUGCAAACCCGGGGCAGAAACGCUCCUGGUGUUUGUCCCACCCGA